AACAAGCUCACUUGGGGGGAA
rnacentral:siRNA from 1 species